rnacentral:tRNA from 1 species
GGCGCUAUAGCCAAGUGGUUACGGCGACAGAUUAGAAAUCUGUUCCACUUUGUGGGCGCAGGUUCGAGUCCUGCUGGCGUCG